GGGGAAUUUUCCGCAAUGGGCGAAAGCCUGACGGAGCAACGCCGCGUGAGGGACGAAGGCCUCUGGGCUGUAAACCUCUUUUCUCAAGGAAGAAGAUAUGACGGUACUUGAGGAAUAAGCCACGGCUAAUUCCGUGCCAGCAGCCGCGGUAAUACGGGAGUGGCAAGCGUUAUCCGGAAUUAUUGGGCGUAAAGCGUCCGCAGGCGGCUUUUCAAGUCUGCUGUUAAAGCGUGGAGCUUAACUCCAUCAUGGCAGUGGAAACUGAAAGGCUUGAGUAUGGUAGGGGCAGAGGGAAUUCCCGGUGUAGCGGUGAAAUGCGUAGAUAUCGGGAAGAACACCAGUGGCGAAGGCGCUCUGCUGGGCCAUAACUGACGCUCAUGGACGAAAGCCAGGGGAGCGAAAGGGAUUAGAUACCCCUGUAGUC
rnacentral:rRNA from 1 species